rnacentral:rRNA from 1 species
AGCAGCCGCGGUAAUUCCAGCUCCAAUAGCGUAUAUUAAAGUUGUUGCAGUUAAAAGCUCGUAGUUGAAUUUCGGGACUCGUAGAUUGGUCGUGCCACGGGUAUGUACUGGUCUUACUGAUUCCUCCUUCCUGAUGAACCGUAAUGCCAUUAAUUUGGUGUUGCGGGGAGACUGGACUGUUACUUUGAAAAAUUAGAGUGUUUAAAGCAGGCUUACGCUUGAAUACAUUAGCAUGGAAUAAUGAAAUAGGACGUUCGAUCCUAUUUUGUUGGUUUCUAGGAUUGACGUAAUGAUUAAUAGGGAUAGUUGGGGGGCAUUAGUAUUCAAUUGUCAGAGGUGAAAUUCUUGGAUUUAUUGAAGACUAACUACUGCGAAAGCAUUUGCCAAGGAUGUUUUCAUUAAUCAAGAACGAAAGUUAGGGAUCGAAGACGAUCAGAUACCGUCGUAGUC